UCAUAUUUACAUCAAAUGCUAUUCAUUAUGAGAUUCCCUACAACUGAUUGUAGGUUUAAUUAACACAUUGUGUGUAGAGCUAGUCCUUUGCUUCUUCCAGUAAGCUUCUUUAUAUCUGCCCAUCCCUGUAUUCUAUGCAGUGACACAUCUGCGGUGGAGGCCUUGAGAAUAUGUAAAUCAGGUAUGAGGAGGCCCCUCCCCCCUAUGGAGAGACUGCUAGUCUAAUUAAAGGUUGCUUGGGCAUUAAAGGCACAGUUGUCCUUUGUUGUAUUAAAGGCAUAGUGGAUUUCCUUCAUCAUAAUAAAGGCACAUUUUUUUAUUUGUUAUGUUAAAGCUACAGUAAUCUUUGAUUGUACUAAAAUACAUCGUGGUUAAUCAUUUAUCAUCCCAUGUAAUGUACAUGAUGAUGAAUACAUGCACGUAUGGGUAGGCUAGGCUACUGUAGAUCUUUCAUCCAAUGCACGUAAGAUGUAUAAUCACUCAACAAGCAUUGUGAUCUUAUUCUUGUGUGUACAAACAAUUAAGCAUACAUUUUUUGGGGAUACGAAUUAAUGUUGCUCCAAAUGAAUGCUAUUUCCCUACAUGAUUUAGUGGGGUAUUAUCCCUAAAUCAAAAUAUCAUAGAAACAUAAUAUACCAUAUGAUGUCAGGUGGAACGUGUCUAUAGGCCUAUUUUUUUGUUGUUGUAAUUAAAUGAAAUCAUAAUUUAACAAUUGACAUUAUAUUUACCAUAUAGGAGGCAUUAGGCUGUUUGUAUUAUAAAUCACUCUCUCUUUGUAUCUGGUGUGGUUUUGUUUGGCUGCUAUAAAGGUUUCAUAAAAAGAUACCCUACUGUAAGGGAUGAUCUACACUGGCUUUUACAUUUCAUUAGUUACAGUAAAGGGACUUCAGGAUUUAGGGGAUAUUCGGUUAAACUGGAUAUUUUUACAUUUGGCAAAAAUUAAUCCCACAUUUUCCACUUUGCUGUCGCGUGUCUCGUGCAGCUAAACCCUACGCGCAUACAAGCCUGCAGCCCGCGCCUCUAAUGUGCUGCUGUUCCUUUAAAGAGGGCUCUGCAUUCUCUCCUCGUUUCUAUGCAAUUAUGUUAAUAUACAGAGCUUGUCUGGUGCUCUUCAUUAACGGCUGCAGUUGCAUCAUUGUUUCCUUCAUUUGUUAUCUCUGUAAAGCCAAUGAUUCAGUAACAGGCUAUAUUUUGGUGUUUUCUUCCUUACAAAUAUGUGGUCUUUAAUAGUGAUGGAUUAAGUAGGCCGUAUGUAAAGUAUUUUUUAUAAAUAUUAGCGUUUAUUUGUGGUUUUCUAUUGCAAAUGAUCCUAUCUCAAGGUCGUGCUUUGCAUCCGGUUUGUGUUGGACAUCGGUUUCUAAAUAGGCAGACAAGGUCCUACCUUCAUACAAAGCUGAAGGCAGCAGCGUCAGAACCUGACGACUACAGGGAGCCAGCUCAGAUCUGGGUCAUGCUGCCACCAGCACAAACCAGGAACAUACUGGAGCUUUUACACAUCUUCAUCUCCACCAAGGCUCCCAUGGAGGCAUAGAGAAACCUGAAGCCAAGAGGCACGGAGCUGCAUCCUAGCACCUGUCAUUCACACCCGAUUGGUUCAUGUUCAUGUUCUGUUUUCAACCUCUCUCUCAUAUUCUCUCCUCUCAUCAUGCCUCUCUAUAUCUGCCAUUAGCUGUUACUCUACCAUAUAAUAUGCACAUGUACUGUAUACCUUACUUACCAUAUAGUAGACAGCGUGUGCUGUUCACACUGCAGAGUUUCUGUGUGUAUCUCAGGCAGCCACUGCAGUGACAAGGGCACUGGAUCAACCUUUGACAAUAACAAAGACAUUUCCAAAUACAAUACAAUGCAAUAGUGAAAAAAAAACUACACAUAUCCAUUAAAACAAUACGCUUGAAUUCUCAUCACUAACAUUCAGCGACAAUUAAUUUGAUCAUUGUCGGGUUAUAGAAUAGUCAUGCCAAGGGUUCUUCUACAACAUUCAAAGGACAUGUUUAUUUGGAUUAGGCCUAGAGAAGAAUAGAGUGGUGAGAUAGAUGUGCUUGAUUUAGAUAAUGUCUCCAUUCUUCUUUUUUGGGAAUCGUUUGGACCAGAGCCUGCAUUACAGUUAUUGAUGAGGAGAUUCAGAUAGGCAGGCUGGAGGACACAAGGCUUUUGUUUUGAGUAGAGUAGAGGUGCAAUCAGCAUGCAGUUAGUGAAGAAAGGUGAAGCUACAAUAAAUAAGUAUAGAUGGAUAUUUUAAACAUAUAUUGAGAUUGAUUAGAAUAUGAAGUGUUCAAAUCAAGUGAGUUGAUAGUAGUUGUUCAUUUCCAUCAUCAACAACUAGCCUACUCUCAGUAUUAAAAUACCUGAGUAGGAAUUUAGAUAUCGGCCAACACUUGGGUAAUGUAAAGCUCACAAUAGACAUCAAUAGGAUGCGGUUUUGGUUAAGGACGAGAUUAUCAGAAUAGCGACUGGUGGGCCCUACGUCACUGGGUUGACCAGUGGAAAUUCUAAAUUGUCUGGUGACACACUUGAAUGGAGAGAUCUGUCCGGUCGUGGGAAAAGCUCGCUUGGACGUUUCACAAAUCCAGCGUAUAGCCUCCUCCUACUGAAUCAAACCAAUUAGCCAGGAGCGCGCUCCAGCCAUUGAGAGCCACUGUAGGCUCUGAGAGGAGUUGUUGGUUGAAUGAAAAUGCAUCCCCGGAUUUGGUUCUCCAAGAGAAGCUAUAGAAGUUGCCUUUUGAGGGACGGCUAUAGCACCGUGAAGGGCCAGGCAGAAAGUCCAAAUUGAGACACUUGAAUCAUUUGGGCGAUUAGGUGUGCACACAAUGCGUAAAAGUAUUGUGUGACUCACAUGGGAGGUAUAAUGCAUUUAAAAUCUACAAAAACCAUGAAUAUCUUAAGUGUUCUUCCUUUCUAGGUAACACAACUCAAUGUGAGAACACAACUACAUGUUUUUAUUCCUGAAAUGAUGCGUUUAUGUAAUGACAUGGAUCUCUUGACUUAAUAUCGAUUGAAAGAUAUCAUUAGCCUACGCUUAUUCAGAAUAUCAGUGGAAGGGGUAGGCAAAGCCUACAUAGCUCAUCUUAAUCAGGACAGCCUUUUUCAUAGGUGUUGGACUACAGUAGGCCUAAAUACGUCACAAGGGCUAA